rnacentral:rRNA from 1 species
AGACCCGAAACCCGGUGAUCUAGCCAUGGGCAGGUUGAAGGUUGGGUAACACUAACUGGAGGACCGAACCGACUAAUGUUGAAAAAUUAGCGGAUGACCUGUGGCUGGGGGUGAAAGGCCAAUCAAACCGGGAGAUAGCUGGUUCUCCCCGAAAGCUAUUUAGGUAGCGCCUCGUGAAUUCAUCUCCGGGGGUAGAGCACUGUUUCGGCUAGGGGGCCAUCCCGGCUUACCAACCCGAUGCAAACUGCGAAUACCGGAGAAUGUUAUCACGGGAGACACACGGCGGGUGCUAACGUCCGUCGUGAAGAGGGAAACAACCCAGACCGCCAGCUAAGGUCCCAAAGUCAUGGUUAAGUGGGAAACGAUGUGGGAAGGCCCAGACAGCCAGGAUGUUGGCUUAGAAGCAGCCAUCAUUUAAAGAAAGCGUAAUAGCUCACUGGUCGAGUCGGCCUGCGCGGAAGAUGUAACGGGGCUAAACCAUGCACCGAAGCUGCGGCAGCGAACGUAUCACCCAAGACAACUUUACGGAGUUGACGAUUGACGGAGCGAAGCGACGUCAAAGCGUUCAUUAAAGUCGAGUUGGCUUAGGGAUACGUUCGUUGGGUAGGGGAGCGUUCUGUAAGCCUGUGAAGGUGGCCUGUGAGGGUUGCUGGAGGUAU